AAUGAAUUUUCAUAUAUGCCCGGUAAUACGGUCCGGGCGUUUCUACCUGAUAACCAUUGAAAUUAUCGGACUAUGAAAAACAGUG
rnacentral:ncRNA from 1 species